rnacentral:rRNA from 1 species
UGGAGUAUGUGGUUUAAUUCGAUGCGACGCGAAGAACCUUACCAGGGCUUGACAUCCUGCGAACCUCUGGGAAACCGGAGGGUGCCUUCGGGAGCGCAGAGACAGGUGGUGCAUGGUUGUCGUCAGCUCGUGUCGUGAGAUGUUGGGUUAAGUCCCGCAACGAGCGCAACCCACGUCUUUAGUUGCCAGCAUUUAGUUGGGCACUCUAGAGAGACCGCCGGUGACAAACCGGAGGAAGGUGUGGAUGACGUCAAGUCAUCAUGCCCCUUACGUCCUGGGCUACACACGUACUACAAUGCUACGGACAAAGAGCAGCAAACUCGCGAGGGUAAGCAAAUCUCAUAAACCGUGGCUCAGUUCAGAUCGUAGGCUGCAACUCGCCUACGUGAAGGAGGAAUCGCUAGUAAUCGCAGGUCAGCAUACUGCGGUGAAUACGUUCCCGGGCCUUGUACACACCGCCCGUCACACCAUGGAAGUUGGCCACGCCC